UUCACUAUCACAGGCUGGUAUUAUACAGUUUUAUGAUUAACUGGAAUCUUAUGCUUAGAAAUAGAGAAGUGCCAAGACUUUAAACUUUUUAUGUAUGCUGUGACAAUAUAAGGGUUUUGGAUCAAAGCUGAAUUGCAUUUGACUGCCCUGGAGCAGAGAGCAGAAGAACUUAUAUAAGAAGAACUUAUAUUUAAUUUCAAAAUUAAAUGCAGUGGGAUUUUCAGUGAAGGUGUUGCAGUGAAGACUUAAGAGUUUAAGUUUGACACUAACUGUUGCAGUCUCACUUUGGUAUCUGCACUGAGUUUGUGACCUGAUGCCAUGUAAUCCUCUCUUCAGGAUAAAGUCACUACCCUGUCAGGUGGAGAAAACAGCACUUGGGAGUCAGAGAGCAAAAGUGUUCAGUGAAGAAGUUUAUUCAUCAGGGAAGAGUUUCAUUGGAGUUGGAAGGCAAACACAGAAAAGUAAACACAGCCCACUGGAUUGCAACAGGACUGACAAUUUCAUGUACUGGACUGUUAAUAACAUCUGACAAGAAGUCCAGCUGCAACAGAGGCAGAUUGAAGCAUGACUGAUGGUUAAGGUGCUGGAAACAAUGAAAAAUUCCCUGAGAAGUGUAUUCCUAUCUCCACUGGAUCAGCGAUGUGGCACAAGGGUCAUGUGGAAGAGGUGGAAAAUUUCUGCAAUGAAAUUUGAAGAGAUUUUUUCACUUUAAGAAAAAUAUAAAGAAAGGUCAUAUGGCUAUCUUUGUAGCUGCAGCAGAAAUUAGAUUUCACAAUGCUCUUAAAGGAA